ensembl:lncRNA
AUGCUAUAGAGCAGGGGUGGGGUGGGGAGCUGUAUGGCGUGGCCUCCUUCACAAUGGGAGGGAAAAAGCUGGUGGAACCCAUGAUGCGUCGUCACCCAACCAUCAUGCAGACAAGGAAACCCACAUGGGUCACGUCACCUACCUGAGACCACAGGGCCACAGGUCCAGAGCAGCUUCCCUCUGAGACUACUGUGAAGAUUGAACGAAUGAACGUAUUCUCCUGGGACGGAGAAGGCCCCGCUCGUUGCGUGUGCUCACUUGUGUCCGACUCUGGGACACCCAUGGACUGGAGCCCCCCAGGCUCCUCUGUCCAUGGGAUUUUUCAGGCAGAUUCUUAUACCCGCUGAGCCACCAGAGAAAAGACUCAUCAGAGGGGAACAAACAAGGCAGGAGGAGAGCUUCCCUAGGCCAAGCUCCUCAAGGAAAGAGGACCUCCCAAUCCCCCAGGAAGGUGUCCCUGAAGGCCUAGCAGUAGUCACAGCUGCCGUGGCUCUUCCCAGGGGCCUGGACAAGCAAUAGUGAAGUCGGAACCACAGAGGACCAGGAGUAAAUUCUGCACAGGAAUAGGAAUUACU